rnacentral:misc_RNA from 1 species
UUUCCGUAGGUGAACCUGCGGAAGUAUCAUUGUCGAAACCUGCCCGGCAGAACGACCCACGAACGUGUGAAACAUAUCGGGGGGGCGCGAGCUCCCCUCGUCGGGAGCGCCGCGUUCGCGCGCGCUCUUCGGCCGAAAAAACGAACCCCGGCUCGACCUGCGCCAAGGAACUCACAACGAAGCUCGGGCUGCCGACGCCCCGUUCGCGGGGCGUGCCGGCGGCGGCGACGUCUUUAGCAUAAACAAAACGACUCUCGGCAACGGAUAUCUCGGCUCUCGCAUCGAUGAAGAACGCAGC